rnacentral:rRNA from 1 species
AUGAAGCUCCUGUUCCAGUGCCCCUGCUGCGCAUGCUUCUGCUUCGUCAGGGCCAAGAAGAGCAGCCAAGGCAAGCAGGGAGGAGCUGGAGAUGACGGGGGCAAAUUCCAAGGGAAACCCACAGAUGUGUAG